AGACUUUGAAAUUUCCAAAAUCUUUGGCACCAUGCACCGACCUUGCCAAGUGUCACCACCAAAUAUUUCUAGCUUGAAAACCAACCAAAAUUAAAAAUUUCUUGCAGUAAGAUUUUUACUGUAUUUAUUUGCCUAUAUAAAGAGCGUAUUCAAACAAUCAAAUCUGAAAAACCAAGACUUUGAAAAUUUCCCAAAUCUUGGCACCAUGCACCGAACUUGUUAAGUCUG
rnacentral:lncRNA from 1 species